rnacentral:misc_RNA from 1 species
UCUCCGUAGGUGAACCUGCGGAGGGAUCAUUACAGGGUUCAUGCCCUACCGGGUAGAUCUCCCACCCUAUGUUAUUAUUACUUUGUUGCUUUGGCGGGCCGUUAGGCCCCGGCCCGACUACCGGCCCCGGCUGGUAAGCGCCCGCCAGAGGACCCAAAACCCUGAAUAUUAGUGUCGUCUGAGUACUAUAUAAUAGUUAAAACUUUCAACAACGGAUCUCUUGGUUCUG